rnacentral:ncRNA from 2 species
GAUGGACACAGUAACUGACGACAAAGUGGAAAUAACCACAAGGGAGCUGCGUUCUCAUACUAUAGUCGGGUCGUCUGGGCAGGGGUA